rnacentral:rRNA from 1 species
AGAAGACAGGUGCUGCAUGGCUGUCGUCAGCUCGUGUCGUGAGAUGUUGGGUUAAGUCCCGCAACGAGCGCAACCCUCGUCGUUAGUUGCCAUCAUUAAGUUGGGAACUCUAGCGAGACUGCCGGUGACAAACCGGAGGAAGGUGAGGAUGACGUCAAGUCAGCAUGGCCCUUACGUCCUGGGCGACACACGUACUACAAUGCGAGGGACAGAGAGCAGCCAACCCGCGAGGGAGAGCGAACCUCUUAAACCCUGGCACAGUUCAGAUUGCAGGCUGCAACUCGCCUGCAUGAAGGAGGAAUCGCUAGUAAUCGCAGGUCAGCAUACUGCGGUGAAUCCGUUCCCGGGCCUU